AGAGUUUGAUCCUGGCUCAGAACGAACGCUGGCGGCAGGCCUAACACAUGCAAGUCGAGCGCGCCUUCGGGUGAGCGGCGGACGGGUUAGUAACGCGUGGGAACGUGCCCUUCUCUACGGAAUAGCCUCUGGAAACGGAGAGUAAUACCGUAUACGCCCUUUGGGGGAAAGAUUUAUCGGAGAAGGAUCGGCCCGCGUUAGAUUAGGUAGUUGGUGGGGUAAUGGCCUACCAAGCCUACGAUCUAUAGCUGGUCUUAGAGGAUGAUCAGCAACACUGGGACUGAGACACGGCCCAGACUCCUACGGGAGGCAGCAGUGGGGAAUCUUAGACAAUGGGGGCAACCCUGAUCUAGCCAUGCCGCGUGAGUGAUGAAGGCCUUAGGGUCGUAAAGCUCUUUCGCCUGUGAUGAUAAUGACAGUAGCAGGUAAAGAAACCCCGGCUAACUCCGUGCCAGCAGCCGCGGUAAUACGGAGGGGGUUAGCGUUGUUCGGAAUUACUGGGCGUAAAGCGCGCGUAGGCGGAUUAGAAAGUUGGGGGUGAAAUCCCGGGGCUCAACCUCGGAACUGCCUCCAAAACUGCUAGUCUAGAGUUCGAGAGAGGUGAGUGGAAUUCCGAGUGUAGAGGUGAAAUUCGUAGAUAUUCGGAGGAACACCAGUGGCGAAGGCGGCUCACUGGCUCGAUACUGACGCUGAGGUGCGAAAGUGUGGGGAGCAAACAGGAUUAGAUACCCUGGUAGUCCACACCGUAAACGAUGAAUGCCAGUCGUCGGGUAGUAUACUAUUCAGUGACACACCUAACGGAUUGAGCAUUCCGCCUGGGGAGUACGUCGCAAGAUUAAAACUCAAAGGAAUUGACGG
rnacentral:rRNA from 1 species